GCCCCCAUCGUCUAGUGGCCUAGGAUACCGGGUUCUCAGUCCGGUGACAGGGGUUCGAGUCCCCUUGGGGGUACCA
rnacentral:tRNA from 1 species